rnacentral:rRNA from 1 species
GACGAACGCUGGCGGCGUGCCUAAUACAUGCGAGUCGAACGCUGAAGGAGGAGCUUGCUUCUCUGGAUGAGUUGCGAACGGGUGAGUAACGCGUAGGUAACCUGCCUGGUAGCGGGGGAUAACUAUUGGAAACGAUAGCUAAUACCGCAUAAGAGUAGAUGUCGCAUGACAUUUGCUUAAAAGGUGCAAUUGCAUCACUACCAGAUGGACCUGCGUUGUAUUAGCUAGUUGGUGAGGUAACGGCUCACCAAGGCAACGAUACAUAGCCGACCUGGGAGGGGGAACGGCCAAACUGGGAAUGGGACACGGCCCAGACUCCUUAGGGAGGGCACAGUAGGGAAUCUUCGGCAAAGGACGGAAGUCUGACUGAGCAACGCCGCGUGAGGGAAGAAGGGUUUCGGAUCGGAAAGAUCUGUUGUAAGGGAAGAACGAGUGUGAGAGUGGAAAGUUCACACUGUGACGGUACCUUACCAGAAAGGGACGGCUAACUACGUG